rnacentral:misc_RNA from 1 species
GAUGAAGAACGCAGCAAAAUGCGAUAAGUAGUGUGAAUUGCAGAAUUCAGUGAAUCAUCGAAUCUUUGAACGCACAUUGCGCCCCCUGGUAUUCCGGGGGGCAUGCCUGUCCGAGCGUCAUUACAACCCUCAAGCUCAGCUUGGUGUUGGGCCCCGCCGCCCCGGCGGGCCCUAAAGUCAGUGGCGGUGCCUUCCGGCUCCGAGCGUAGUAAUUCUUCUCGCUCUGGAGACCCGGUUGUGUGCUUGCCAACAACCCCCAAUUUUUUAAGGUUGACCUCGGAUCAGGUAGGGAUACCCGCUGAACUUAAGCAUAUCAAUAAGCGGAGGA